AUCAUGACUUCACUUUGUCCUUUAAUUUAAUAUGGUUAGAACUACCAUGGUUUUUUAAGUAGUUGGGGCAUUAAGAAACAGUAUGCUGGAUGUUUGGCCUUGCAUCUGUCCUUCCAUGAAUUCAUGCUUGUGCAUUGCUAGUUAUUGCUUUUUUUGCAGGUCUUCUUCUUCCUCGAUCUGGUGCAGCAGCAACAAUUCAAGGUCAUGGUCAUGGAGCAGCAGCCAUAUAUUUUUCUUCUUCUUAUUCUUCCCUGAGAUGACAUGAGAUGAGGCUCUGUUGGUCGGUCUUCAAUUCUUCAUGCUGCUGCUGCUACUGCUACAUGAGGACCCUCUUCAAUUCUGCAUCCGUUGCGGCCGCCGCAGCUUCCACCUCCAGAAGAGCACCUGCUCCUCGUGCGGUUACCCGGCCGCCCGCAUCCGCAAGUGUGAAGUGCGAAUCCAUGUCCGAAGCUGUGAAGCAUAUCAGCAACGAGUAGCAUAUUAUGUGUUGUAGUUGUAGGCAGUAGUAGGCAUAUCUGGG